rnacentral:sRNA from 1 species
GCCUUGCGUGAGGGAUUGCAGCGGAGCUCUUUAUGGUCUCGCUCUUAAAACGAGACCAUAAAAGCGAGAGUGUAAAGCCCGACCUCGU